AUUGAACGCUGGCGGCAUGCCUUACACAUGCAAGUCGAACGGUAACGGGCCUUCGGGUGCCGACAAGUGGCGAACGGGUGAGUAAUGUAUCGGAACGUACCUUUCAGUGGGGGAUAACGUAGCGAAAGUUACGCUAAUACCGCAUAUUCUGUGCGCAGGAAAGCAGGGGAUCGCAAGACCUUGCGCUGAUUGAGCGGCCGAUAUCAGAUUAGCUAGUUGGUGAGGUAAAGGCUCACCAAGGCGACGAUCUGUAGCGGGUCUGAGAGGAUGAUCCGCCACACUGGAACUGAGCCACGGUCCAGACUCCUACGGGAGGCAGCAGUGGGGAAUUUUGGACAAUGGGGGCAACCCUGAUCCAGCCAUGCCGCGUGAGUGAAGAAGGCCUUCGGGUUGUAAAGCUCUUUCGGCCGGGAUGAAAUCGUAUCAGCUAAUACCUGGUGCGGAUGACGGUACCGGCAUAAGAAGCACCGGCUAACUACGUGCCAGCCGCCGCAGUAAAAC
rnacentral:rRNA from 1 species